rnacentral:tRNA from 1 species
AAUUAGAAAGCGAAUAUUUGCAUUUAGUUUCGACCUAACCCUUAGGCUCCUAGCCUUCUAAUUU